UACAAAUGUUUAAUAACAUAGUGGAGUUUC
rnacentral:piRNA from 1 species